rnacentral:tRNA from 1 species
GCGUCCAUAGCUCAGCUGGAUAGAGUACCGGACUUCGAAUCCGUAGGUCGCAGGUUCGAAUCCUGCUGGGCGCG